UUUUGUGAUUUUAAAAGUUUUCGGAAACAAAUUCAAAAUUUUAUGCUCAUUAUAUUGGCACUAUUUUCGGAGUCUAAAAUCUUGCUUUGGCCAAAAUGCUUUGAAAUCGAUCUUCCAUACUGAACGUAGUGUCAAAGAGGUCAAAGACGUGGAAUUGAGUUUCAAUGACCAACGGAACAAAAGUAAGAAAAACAAGUAAGGAAAUUAUUGGAUCCAACAUUAUCAGUCUUAGUCAAUACAUGUUAGAAGUGACAGCUGAUGUCCCGUAAGAGGCGGAUAAGGGUUUUAUUACUAUAGAAUCUGGCACCAUGCGGGUAUUAAAAACACUGAUUACUAAUGAAAAAUCCAGUAUUACCCUUUGGUCUUGGAUAGUAGGUUCCCUUUAGUUAACUAUUCUAAGUUUAGAAGUUCCUUUCUAAUAAGAAGAAAAAUGAAUCAUGACGAAAUGCGGUCUCUAAAAAAGCAAGAAAAAGAGAACUAAGGAAUAAGGAAUAGGACAAGGAAAGUAUCAGAGUUAGAAUAUAAGGGCCCAGUCCGAUGUAUUUGAAUUCAGAACUACACCUUAAAUGGAAGAAAUGCGUCAUUCGGUGAAGGUAUCUUUCAGAUGAUCUAAUGAAGCACAGCGGUAAAGCUCUAUAAUAAAAGCUGUAUUAUCAGUUUUCAUUUCUGUGGGUUGUAAGCGAGAGCUGCUACAUAAUUUUGCUACAUAAUGCCAAUAAAAAUUGAUCGACCUCUGUAUAUAAGUUGGAUCAAAAGCACCUUGGUCAGCUUAUUACUGGAAGAGAACCAAAUGAACAAAAAUUAAACUGAAAUGUAGGAUGAUGUAGAGCUAAGCCUUAAUGCAACUACUACAGAUCAUGGUGACUGUUUUCUGAAGAAGAGACUUUUUAACGCGUUUGGUAAUCGAAAGCGUAUUUGGUUAUAUCGCUUUAUAGCUUAUCUAGACUACGCUAGAUGGAAAUAAUCUAUCGUUUUUCCUAAUUUAGAAGAAAAUGAAGAUCAAAAAGUCUUUUAACUGAGCAGAAGUGACGGAAAGGCUUUUAAAACAAUUGGAGGAUUCACUAGGAGUCCUCGAGUCCUCUCAAAUACAACAAAGUUUAUGUGAGCAGUAGACUAAUGAAUGUGGAAGAGUUAAAGUUGUGUAAAGACACUGGGACGUUCGGGUAUUCAUUGGAAGAUUCGAUUUCGUACACUUCUUUAUAAGUGUACAAAGCAUGGAAGCCGAAGGUAGUAAGCAUGAUUACUUCAUGUGGAUUGGGUUUUCAGUGAACUGACCCUGGUUUUUAACUAUAAUUUAAUUUAUUUAUUUAAAAUAAUAUUAGAAUAUAAGAAUUAUGCACAGUUAUAUAUAAUAUUUUGCAUGUUGUGGUAUGAAAGAAAAUUAAAAAAUAUAUUCAAUUAGUGUUUUUAAAGAUCAUAGGUAAUCCGUAGAGAGACAAAUAAAAUAAUAAACAAA